CUCUACUUUAUAAAUCCUACUGCCUUUUUCCCUGCGAAAAGUCUUCUUUGUCCCUCUACAAAUUCUGUUUUUACGUUUAUACGGCCAUUGGCCACGUGGACUCCUCUCUGCCACUUAUUUCAUACAUAAACCCACGCUUUCUUAUUCUCCAGCAUCUCCUAGAGUUUGAAUUUCAAAAUUUUGAAUCGACGGCCUUGAAAAUACUGCCGGUUUGAAGAUUUUCAAUCAUGAAACUUCCGAAAGAAGCUGCAUUUCAAAUUCAAACCGUCCGAUGUCUACGCUCUCUUCGAUUUCGAAUUUAUGCUUUGGAGGCGAUUACUGCCACUGUUCGGAUCAAAGCGGUUACUGCGGCUGCUGCUCGGAUCCACUGAUGGCGAAGAGCAAGUGAUAGAUUAAUUCAUCCAUUCUCCCCUCUUUCCCCUUUUCUGAAUUGAUGGAGAACACACUUUGAUAACGAAAACAAAGAUGCAGAUUAAUGAUCCUAGACAAGUGUAUGGCCCUGUUGCCACUGUCUGGACUUUGCCUGAGAAGUAUUUGGCAAAAUGUCCAGGAGAAGAAGCUGAUAGAGCAAAUUUGCAUUUCUUUGUUUGGAUGGGACGCUUAACCAGCAGCAGCGAGAGAAAAUCUUUAUAAAACAGUUUUCAGAAGAUAGCAAUAUUCUGGUGCUUCUUAUGUCAUUGAAGGCUGACAGAGUUGGAAUAAACCUGACAGCAGCAUCUCAUGCAUUUGUCAUGGUAUGUUCAAUGUGUUGGUCUAGGUUCCAGAUAUUUUCUGCUAUAGCCAUACUCAUUUUGUACUUUGUUCAACCUAGAACUUAAAGAUGCAUAGUUUCAAAUUGUUGAUCUUCUGUAACGCUGAUUAAUAUAUG